rnacentral:rRNA from 1 species
UACGUAGGGUGCAAGCGUUGUCCGGAAUUAUUGGGCGUAAAGCGUGUGUAGGCGGCCACGUAAGUCGGAUGUGAAAGCCCCGGGCUCAACCCGGGAAGUGCACUCGAUACUGCGUGGCUUGAGUACUGGAGAGGUUGGUGGAAUUCUCGGUGUAGAGGUGAAAUUCGUAGAUAUCGAGAGGAACACCGGUGGCGAAGGCGGCCAACUGGACAGAUACUGACGCUGAGACACGAAAGCGUGGGGAGCAAACAGG